rnacentral:rRNA from 1 species
GUGCCAGCAGCCGCGGUAAUACGUAGGGUGCGAGCGUUGUCCGGAAUUACUGGGCGUAAAGAGCUCGUAGGUGGUUUGUCGCGUCGUCUGUGAAAUUCCGGGGCUUAACUCCGGGCGUGCAGGCGAUACGGGCAUAACUUGAGUACUGUAGGGGUAACUGGAAUUCCUGGUGUAGCGGUGAAAUGCGCAGAUAUCAGGAGGAACACCGAUGGCGAAGGCAGGUUACUGGGCAGUUACUGACGCUGAGGAGCGAAAGCAUGGGUAGCGAACAGGAUUAGAUACCCUGGUAGUCCAUGCCGUAAACGGUGGGCGCUAGGUGUGAGGGUCUUUUCACGACUUUCGUGCCGUAGCUAACGCAUUAAGCGCCCCGCCUGGGGAGUACGGCCGCAAGGCUAAAACUCAAAGGAAUUGACGGGGGCCCGCACAAGCGGCGGAGCAUGUGGAUUAAUUCGAUGCAACGCGAAGAACCUUACCUGGGCUUGACAUACACCAGAUCGCCGUAGAGAUACGGUUUCCCUUUGUGGUUGGUGUACAGGUGGUGCAUGGUUGUCGUCAGCUCGUGUCGUGAGAUGUUGGGUUAAGUCCCGCAACGAGCGCAACCCUUGUCUUAUGUUGCCAGCAAUUUGGUUGGGGACUCGUGAGAGACUGCCGGGGUUAACUCGGAGGAAGGUGGGGAUGACGUCAAAUCAUCAUGCCCCUUAUGUCCAGGGCUUCACACAUGCUACAAUGGUCGGUACAACGCGUUUGCGAGCCUGUGAGGGUGAGCUGAUCGCUGAAAGCCGGUCGUAGUUCGGAUUGGGGUCUGCAACUCGACCCCAUGAAGUCGGAGUCGCUAGUAAUCGCAGAUCAGCAACGCUGCGGUGAAUACGUUCCCGGGCCUUGUACACACCGCCCGUCAUGUCAUGAAAGUUGGUAACACCCGAAGCCAGUGGCCUGUUAAAGGGAGCUGUCGAAGGUGGGAUCGGCGAUUGGGACGAAGUCGUAACAAGGUA